AGCGAACGCUGGCGGCAGGCCUAACACAUGCAAGUCGAGCGCCCAGCAAUGGGAGCGGCAGACGGGAGAGUAACACGUGGGAACGUACCCUUCAGUUCGGAACAACCCAGGGAAACUUGGGCUAAUACCGAAUACGUCCGUAAGGAGAAAGAUUUAUCGCUGAAGGAUCGGCCCGCGUCUGAUUAGCUAGUUGGUGAGGUAACGGCUCACCAAGGCGACGAUCAGUAGCUGGUCGAGAGGAUGAUCAGCCUCACUGGGACUGAGACACGGCCCAGACUCCUACGGGAGGCAGCAGUGGGGAAUAUUGGACAAUGGGCGCAAGCCUGAUCCAGCCAUGCCGCGUGGAUGAUGAAGGCCCUAGGGUUGUAAAGUCCUUUCGACGGGGAAGAUAAUGACGGUACCCGUAGAAGAAGCCCCGGCUAACUUCGUGCCAGCCGCCGCCGUAAU
rnacentral:rRNA from 1 species